AAGCCCAAACAGGCAGGAGUAGUUUGCCUAGACCUUUCUUUUUCCCCCCUCUAGUUUACUGAGUCUCAAACAGACAGUGGCUGGCUUGUUUGCCCUGAACAGAUGAUUGAUUUUGUGUCAUGCUGGCCCUGCUGUCAACUGCUCUCUCUCCCCCACUCCUCUUAUAGCUCUCACUUGGCCUUUGUUCUCCAUUGUGCGACUUUCAUCCCUGGUCUGGUCCGGGUCCAUUCAGACAGCUGGACAUUAUUGUGUUAAUGGCGGGCCAUGUUGCGUUCCCAGAAUGCUCAACCACUCAGUACAACUGCAGCCUCAUCGCUGUGCGACUUGUAGCUUCAUCCAGUGACGAUGUAACUCAGCAACAUGCCCUUUGAAAUACAGUAUGAAUUUGUUAUUGUGGACCCAGAUCUUUGCAUCAUAUCUUCACGUCAUUUGUUUACCUCCACGUCUCCAGCCUGUUUAUAUUUGUGUGCAGUUGCCCUAAACAGUUGGCGGGUGCCUCAGUCUGAUCCCGGCUUGCACCAGGAGUGAUUCAGCUGGCUGUGCAGCAGCCAUAUCUGUUUCAUAGAGGUUUUGUGUUUUUGUAAGUGUUGCGGAGAAAUGGCUUGUCCCAAGCACAGAACGCAAUUUAGAUUAGAGUGUGAUGUUGUUUUUCUUCUGUAUGGUGCUUCCACUUGGCUACUUGUAUAUUUUUGCUUGGUAUGUUUUUUCUCACCCUGACUGUGAUCAACUGUUAUGUCACCAUCACUAGGUGAAACCAUUGUGAAUCAUAUUAUAAUGUGUAAAUAAUCAACCUACUGUGGACAUUCAAAUACCUGUGCUUAAGUCUGCCUUUCUGAUAAACACACUAUCACACUACACUGUUGCGCCAGCCGUAUGUUUACCAUUUGUGACACAUAAAGCAGGCAACUUGACAGUGGCCAAUUUUUAGUAUAAAGUCUGUUUGUUGCCUAUCUGAUAUUGUAAAAGUGUUUGGGUGAGUGUGAAAUUAGAUCUACAAUGAGCUUUGAUUUCUCCCAAGCCGCAUAUCCCAUUUGUCUUAAAGCCAAGCUCUAUUGAUCUGCCUGCUCUUCAUCUUCAGUUUCCUCCCGCUGUAGCUCAACCCACAUCGCGCUGGUGGGGAUCAGCAGAUAUAUUCAUAUCGUGCCUUGAACAGCAAGCAUGUGUGCGGGGGCAGACUGAGGGGGCUGGUGUAAUGUCAUUGGACUGGAUGUGUUGUGGAGGUCUGGCGAAAGCACACGUGGACACUGUAUGAGUGUGGUGCAGUUCAAACCCCCAAAAAUUUAGUUUUUAUGCUCAUGUCAUCAGUCACCUUUAAGCUUUAUGUGGAAAAGACAUCUUGACUUAUUUGCCCUGUUUGGCUUUGAUAGACACCCUUCCUUCUACUAGUCAGCUACUUAUUGUAUUCAAUGUGGUAGUGACCGUAGUAAUGGCUGAUUAAACCCUAUGUGCACAAUGCACACAUUUAACAGGAAUAGCACGUCAUCGCAUCACAUAAUAUUACUUACAUUGUUGAACCCAAUAAACCACACUGGUAAAUACAAGAAGGGAGUCAGUGUUGCUUGCAGUGGCAUGAAAGAAAUAAACUAACAUUGUAACUAGUCACUUGCUCUAUUAUUACAAUAUUGCAGAGAGUAUGAAAUGUCUUUAUUAUUAUCUGAAGUGGAAACAAUCAGUCAAGGUAUGAGUUCAUGAUCCAAGUAACAAGAUAGAUCCUUAUUUGUUCUAGUUUAUUAUUUGAGUGCUGACAAUUGAUAAAACAUUUUUUACAAAUUAAUUGCACAAUUUGCUGUGAUUAAUUGCGAUUAAUCACCUUUUUCUUCUUAAGACUGAAGUUUGUAAUAAUGGAUAAAUGUAAAAUGAUGGAAUUAAUAUAGAAUCAACACAAAGGAAGUAUUUAAAUUCAAAUACUUUUGUUUAAUAGCAUCUUUUUAACUUAGCACAGAUUCUCUCCUGUGAACUACAGAUUUCCAGUAAAACCAUCAAGGCCAAAGUGAGUCAAGGAGGCCUCUCUGACAUCUUUCAGAUAUCUAGCAGCUAAAUAUCUGGACACGUCCGGGAACCUUCUCCUGUGUGAGCUGUGAUGUGAUAGGCAGUCAGUGUGUCAACCUGAAAACGUGGGGGGGGGGGGGCUGUAGCACAACAACACAAGACACUUGCCUUGUCUGUGUUUCUGGAAACAAAUCAUUGUGCAGACUAUAUGCAGGGCUUUUUUCUCUCAUUUUCAUUGCAACUAGGCAUGUGCUGGUAUGAGAUUUUGACGGUAUGAUAACCUUGGGCAAAAUGUGGUUUCACAUUAUCGUGCACCUUAAAUGUGCUAUUGUGAAAAUCUCUGGGUAAAAUAAAAAAAGAAAUAUUAUAACAUUUGGAACAUUAGUAAAUGUUGUUUGCUAACAUAUAGAACAUAAUUGAUUUUUUUUCUUGAAAAAAACCCACGUCUAGAUGAAAUUAAAAUAAAUGCAGUCUCUUAAGUGUUGUUGAUGGCGAUUAUUUGACUGCUCUGUACUGCUUGUGUUGGAGACGGUUGUUCUUCUGCACAUUACGCGACCUGGGGGAUUCCACUGCAGUUUUUGGUUCCUUAGUGAGGAUAUAUGUAAACACUGGUGGUGGAGAAGAGAGACGGGGUGAGGAGCACCAGCAGUGCUAGGUGCAUCAUUAGCACAGCUGCGGUGAGUCGCUAAUCAAGCUGCAGCAGCCGGUGUUUUUUUCCCAGAUUUUCCGUCCAGACCGUAGUGUAGUCGGGAAGCACCGUCUCGUUCCAAUUCUCCGAGGCGUCUUCUUUAAACUAAUGGCGCUGGGGCAUUUAUUACAGUGAGACAGACUGCAACCGGCACUGCACGUUAGCACAUUAGCCAAACAAACGGCUCACCGCUCCGCUCGCUCUCUCUCUCUCUCUCUCGCUUGCUCGUACAACACUGGGCAGCGCAGCGCACGGGAAUUAGAAGACUGUUCAUACCGUCUGGACGGUUUGAAAGGAAUUUGUGAUUAGUGGUUAGUGGUUUCGGAACCGUGGCCUUUUGAUACCGUGGUUUACAUGUAGGACCAUGACGUCACAACGCAAUGCAUUGUAGGGUAUUAGGAUACGGAAGUUCUGUAGAGAACAGAGUUGUGAUGUAGCAACUGGUGUGUAGUGGAUAGUGGUUGUUUGAUUUACGAUCACUAUUGUUGUAUGUGAUUUGGUUACUGCUAAACAUUGCUAAUCGCGAUUAGCCAAAACGCUAACUAAUUUCAUCACAACUAGCUGGCUGCAUUGCUACAUAGAUUAAAGAAAUUAUGUCUGGGGGGUUUUCCUGCAAACACAGCAGGUAGUUCACACCGGGGGUCCCUGUGGAGAGGGCGAUAUCCAGAAUCUAUUCCCGUUUCGCGUGUGUAUUUUCGUGAUAAACGUCCUUUAAACUCCUUACACUCCUUCCUUGUCUGUAUCCAUCUUUAACCAGGAUGGUUGGUUAUGCCCCACAUGUCGUCACACAGGUCAGCUGCCACAGGAAUUAAAUUUAAUGCGUCAACGAUUUAAAAUUUGUUUAAUGCGAUAAAUAUUUCACAAUUAAAGGUAGGGUAGCCGAUUUUUGUGAGAAGCACUUCGUCAUAUUACUUGAAAGUCUCGUAACAUACCGAUAGCGAUGAAUUCAUUGAAUGAUCUGACACUGAAAGGAAAAAAAUCUCUCAUCUGUGGCCAAGGGAUGACUUUAAAAACCACAACCAAUAAGAAAGUUUGGUCCGGAGAAAAUGAUUGGAUGAACCGGCUUUCUCCCUGCCUGCGCGCACUCCGCUCGUUCACCACACCGUGGGGUGCUUGAUCAGUCACCUGCACCGGAAACAAACGGAGCUGCAGAGCUAUAGCUACAGCUUGCAGACGAGCUGCUACACUGAAUUAAAGAAGAAAAGAGUUGCAGAAUGGCAGAGAAAGUACCUACAACAGCUUCCGGUCGCAACAGAAAGACAGCAGUUGGAUACUACGAGGAGUAAAAAGAGUAAACAUCGGUGUGACUCUUCAACGCUGGCGUCAACUCAGUGAGGAGAAGAGGGUGAAAGGUACGGCAAGUUGUACAUGAAGCAGUCCAGGACCUGGAGGUUACACACUGAAGGUUGUCUGCCAUGGACCAGAGCAACGAGACCAGACGAUCCCCGUCAACAGCUAGAGAAGCAAGUCAGCAGAGGGCCAGGACCACUGCCUAAGAGUCGACGACAGCACAGGCUGACCAGUCAGCCGACAGACCUUCUUUGACACUAAAGAGCUAGUAAACCCUGUGCAGACAGUUUAUACAUUUUUGUACAUAUGUUGUUUUUGUUAAUAUUAUAAUAUAUAUUUGUUACAUUAUAUGAUGUUCCAAAAAAUAAACAGGUGUCAUGACA